GGCCAUCAUUGGCUCUGUGACCACAUUAUAAAGUUUUUUCGUGUGGAUAUCUCAUUCGAUGUUCUUGAUAACCACAGUGGCAGAUAAGGAGCAAAUGGAUCUGGUGAAAAGAAUGACUUGCUCGGGGCCACAAGGCACUGACAUGGCCGUCUUCUGUCUGCUGUGUGGGAAGCGCUUCCAGGCGCAGAGCGCACUGCAGCAGCACAUGGAGGUCCACGCGGGCGUGCGCAGCUACAUCUGCAGUGAGUGCAACCGCACCUUCCCCAGCCACACGGCUCUCAAACGCCACCUGCGCUCACAUACAGGCGACCACCCCUACGAGUGUGAGUUCUGUGGCAGCUGCUUCCGGGAUGAGAGCACACUCAAGAGCCACAAACGCAUCCACACGGGUGAGAAACCCUACGAGUGCAAUGGCUGUGGCAAGAAGUUCAGCCUCAAGCAUCAGCUGGAGACGCACUAUAGGGUGCACACAGGUGAGAAGCCCUUUGAGUGUAAGCUCUGCCACCAGCGCUCCCGGGACUACUCGGCCAUGAUCAAGCACCUGAGAACGCACAACGGCGCCUCGCCCUACCAGUGCACCAUCUGCACAGAGUACUGCCCCAGCCUCUCCUCCAUGCAGAAGCACAUGAAGGGCCACAAGCCCGAGGAGAUCCCGCCCGACUGGAGGAUAGAGAAGACGUACCUCUACCUGUGCUAUGUGUGAAG
rnacentral:sRNA from 1 species